GGCAGGGUAGCUCAGUUGGUCAGAGCGAAGGACUCAUAAGCCUUAGGUCGUGGGUUCGAUCCCCACCCCUGCUACUA
rnacentral:tRNA from 1 species